rnacentral:lncRNA from 1 species
GAGGCAUUGGAGCUUAGUCUAGGAUUAGUUUAGAACAGGAUUUACAUUUCUGUAUUUUUCUAUUUCGGGACUGUAUAACUCGAACUGGACACUAUAUUUUUAUUCGUUUUGUUUUGUUUGUUUGUUUGAUUGUUUUACGUGUUUUUGUGUGGUUUGUACAUCAUAGUGUCAAAUUAGCCAAUUCAUUCUACCAAGCGAUCGUGGUCGAACCACGGGAUCAAGGGGUGCCUAACACCUUCCCCUCGGUCAACAAAAUUCCUUAACCAGGAUCUCUGUUCGCAAACCAGUUUUAAAGAGUCAAAUCAUUUUGAAAAGG